AUUAUGAUCUAAACAACUAUUCCAGUCAUUCCUGUGACUCAGCGCCUGCCAGCAGGAUCUUCCUGUGUGCACGGGGCCGGGGGUUGCUGACUCAGUGCUGAGGAGGGCACCUUGUCAGCGCUCCUGGGCUCCCAGCUCCUCCUGCCUCCCCUUCGUCCCCAGAGGACACCAAAGGGAAGCAGGCAGUGGGGGGAGCUUCUCAGCGUGUCCAGUUUCACUUCUAAACCAGCAUCCAGCCUCCUCGAGUUACCACUCUGACCACGUACAUCUGUUAGUCUUCCGGGCACUUUGGCGAGGAAGCCAUCAGGAACAGUCACACAGGCAUCAUGCUUCACGUACCCAAUUAACACGUGUUUAGCCAGCACCUACUAUGCAUCCAGGACUGGGAUCCAGAGAGAUGUGACUGUAUCUACCCACAACUUUCAGAGGUCUGGCGGGGGAAAAGCCCUCGCAGUCCCGCAGGAAGUAAUGGAGAGAGUGCUGCAGCAGGGCUGUGGAGAGCCGGGGCCGCUGAGCAGCAAGCGGCAGCAGGCUCAGUGUCCCCGAAACUGCAAAUGAACUGCUGGCGCUCUCCUCCUUCACGUGAGAAGGAGAAGGAGAAAAGACAGAUCACAUGCUGCCGGAUGAAAAUUAAAGAAGUGAGGACACCAACAUGGCAUCUACUACGUACCAAACCUUUACAUGCCAAAGAGGGAAGUGGAGAAAUCAAUGAAGGCUCCUGAAGGACGUGUCAGCUCCACCUGAAAACAGGAUGAGUUGGUAAUGUUGAGGAGGGCGGGGCGGGGAAGCACAGGACAGCCUAGGACUGUGUGUCCAUGUGGCCACUCGCCACCCCAGGCUGCGGAGCGAGGAAUGCUCAUCUGAACUGAGGUGCCCUAGGAGUAAAUGCGACCGGCUUUCAGACUCGCACUGAAAAGAACGUAAAACACCUCAUCAAUGUUUUGUAUUGAUUGCAUGUUGACCUGAUGAUAUUUUGGAUAUAUUGGGUUAAAUCAAAUGUAUUAUUAAAAUCAAUUUUACCUGUUUCUUUUUACUUUUUAAAAUGUGGCCACUAGACAAUGUUGAAUCGUGUGUGUAGCUCACGUUGUACUUUGAAAGGACGGUGCUGUCCUAGAAGGGCUGGGAGCCUCAGGGAGCAGGCACAUCAGAGCCGCUGUGGGGCACGAGGGGAGGAGAGAAAGAGGAUGCCGAAGGCUGGUAUGAACCUCCAACCUCUAUUCUGCGGAUCACACAGAGUGAUUUUAACCUCUGUGAACCCCAAAUCUGAGAUGCUGGGGCGCACUGACUUACUGGAAAUUGACUCUUCCUCCAAACCAGCUCUAGCUGUGAGCCAGGGAACGGUUAAUGCUCUUCGUGAGUCCCAUAUUGUAGAUGGAAGAGGCCAGAAAAAGCAGGGCAGCGACCUGGCCACAUGGCCGAGUGGUUAAGUUCGCAUGCUCUGCUUCGGCAGCCCAGGGUUUCGCGGGU